GAGUAAAGAUUUCGGUCGCUUUGGGAGGAGCUCGCUUACUAUCAGCUUGUUGGUAGGGUAAUGGCCUACCAAGGCUAUGACGGUUAGGGGGUGUGAGAGCAUGACCCCCAGCAUUGGCACUGAAACACUGGCCAAACACCUACGGGUGGCUGCAGUCGAGAAUCUUCCACAAUGGGGGAAACCCUGAUGGAGCGAUGCUGCGUGCGGGAUGAAGGCCUUCGGGUUGUAAACCGCUUUUGUAGGGGACGAAAUUUUUGACGGUACCCUUUCGAAUAAGAGGUUGCUAACUCUGUGCCAGCAGCAGCGGUAAUACAGAGACCUCAAGCGUUAUCCGGAUUUACUGGGCGUAAAGCGUCUGUAGGGGGUUUAUUAAGUUCCAAGUAAAAUUUCAAGGCUCAACUUUGAAUUCGCUUGGAAAACUAAUAAACUGGAGUCUAGCAGAGGUGCAUGGAACUUGUGGUGUAGGAGUGAAAUCCGUUGAUAUCACAAGGAACACCAAAGGCGAAGGCAUUGCACUGGGCUAGCACUGACCCUGAGAGACGAAAGCGUGGGGAGCAAAACGGAUUAGAUACCCGUGUAGUCCACGCCCUAAACGAUGAAUGCUAAAUGUUCGGGGGUUCGACCCCCUGGGUGUUACAGCUAACGCGUUAAGCAUUCCACCUGGGAAGUACGGCCGCAAGGCUAAAACUCAAAGGAAUAGACGGGGAUCCGCACAAGCGGUGGAGCGUCUGGUUUAAUUCGACAGUAAGCGUGGUACCUCACCAGGGUUUGACAUCCCUUGACAGCAUUGGAAACAAGGUUUCCUUCGGGCAAGGUGACAGGUGCUGCAUGGUCGUCGUCAGUUCGUGCCGUGAGGUGUUCCGUUAAGUCGGGAAACGAACGAAACCCCUAUUGCAUGUUACAGUUUCUCAUGCAAGACUGCCCGGAUAUACUGGGAGGAAGGUGGGGAUGACGUCAGAUCUGCAUGGUCCUUAUACCCUGGGCGACACAGGCGCUACAAUGGCAGAGACAAAGGGUUGCAAAACCGCAAGGUGAAGCUAAUCCCAAAAACUUUGUCUAAGUUCGGAUUGAAGGCUGCAAUUCGCCUUCAUGAAGCUGGAAUCGCUAGUAAUCGUGAAUCAGCCACGUCACGGUGAAUAUGUUCCCGGAUCUUGUACUCACCGCCCGUCACACCAAGAGAGUUGGUAGCUCCCGAAG
rnacentral:rRNA from 1 species